ACACUCCUGCGGGAGGCAGCAGUGGGGAAUUUUGGACAAUGGGCGAAAGCCUGAUCCAGCAAUGCCGCGUGCAGGAUGAAGGCCUUCGGGUUGUAAACUGCUUUUGUACGGAACGAAAAAGCUCCUUCUAAUACAGGGGGCCCAUGACGGUACCGUAAGAAUAAGCACCGGCUAACUACGUGCCAGCAGCCGCGGUAAUACGUAGGGUGCGAGCGUUAAUCGGAAUUACUGGGCGUAAAGCGUGCGCAGGCGGUUAUGUAAGACAGAUGUGACAUCCCCGGGCUCAACCUGGGAACUGCAUUUGUGACUGCAUGGCUAGAGUACGGUAGAGGGGGAUGGAAUUCCGCGUGUAGCAGUGAAAUGCGUAGAUAUGCGGAGGAACACCGAUGGCGAAGGCAAUCCCCUGGACCUGUACUGACGCUCAUGCACGAAAGCGUGGGGAGCAAACAGGAUUAGAAACCCCUGUAGUCCCA
rnacentral:rRNA from 1 species